GUAAACGAUGAGUGCUAAGUGUUGGAGGGUUUCCGCCCUUCAGUGCUGCAGCUAACGCAUUAAGCACUCCGCCUGGGGAGUACGACCGCAAGGUUGAAACCCAAAGGAAUUGACGGGGGCCCGCACAAGCGGUGGAGCAUGUGGUUUAAUUCGAAGCAACGCGAAGAACCUUACCAGGUCUUGACAUCCUCUGACAACCCUAGAGAUAGGGCUUUCCCUUCGGGGACAGAGUGACAGGUGGUGCAUGGUUGUCGUCAGCUCGUGUCGUGAGAUGUUGGGUUAAGUCCCGCAACGAGCGCAACCCUUGUCGUUAGUUGCCAUCAUUCAGUUGGGCACUCUAGCGAGACUGCCGGUGACAAACCGGAGGAAGGUGGGGAUGACGUCAAAUCAUCAUGCCCCUUAUGACCUGGGCUACACACGUGCUACAAUGGACGGUACAACGAGCAGCGAACUCGCGAGGGCAAGCGAAUCUCUUAAAGCCGUUCUCAGUUCGGAUUGCAGGCUGCAACUCGCCUGCAUGAAGCCGGAAUCGCUAGUAAUCGUGGAUCAGCAUGCCACGGUGAAUACGUUCCCGGGCCUUGUACACACCGCCCGUCACACCACGAGAGUUUGUAACACCCAAAGUCGGUGCGGUAACCUUUUGGAGCCAGCCGCCUAAGGUGGGAUAGAUGAUUGGGGUG
rnacentral:rRNA from 1 species